rnacentral:rRNA from 1 species
AACGAACGCUGGCGGCAGGCCUAACACAUGCAAGUCGAGCGGAUGUAGCAAUACAUCAGCGGCAGACGGGAGAGUAACACGUGGGAACGCGCCCUUCGGUUCGGAAUAACUCAGGGAAACUUGAGCUAAUACCGGAUACGCCCUAACGGGGAAAGAUUUAUCGCCGAAGGAACGGCCCGCGUCGGAUUAGCUAGUUGGUGAGGUAAUGGCUCACCAAGGCAACGAUCCGUAGCUGGUCUAAGAGGAUGAUCAGCCUCACUGGGACUGAGACACGGCCCAGACUCCUACGGGAGGCAGCAGUGGGGAAUCUUAGACAAUGGGCGAAAGCCUGAUCUAGCCAUGCCGCGUGAGUGAUGAAGGCCUUAGGGUCGUAAAGCUCUUUCGCCAGGGAUGAUAAUGACAGUACCUGGUAAAGAAACCCCGGCUAACUCCGUGCCAGCAGCCGCGGUAAUACGGAGGGGGUUAGCGUUGUUCGGAAUUACUGGGCGUAAAGCGCGCGUAGGCGGAUCAGAAAGUUGGGGGUGAAAUCCCAGGGCUCAACCCUGGAACUGCCUCCAAAACUCCUGGUCUUGAGUUCGAGAGAGGUGAGUGGAAUUCCGAGUGUAGAGGUGAAAUUCGUAGAUAUUCGGAGGAACACCAGUGGCGAAGGCGGCUCACUGGCUCGAUACUGACGCUGAGGUGCGAAAGUGUGGGGAGCAAACAGGAUUAGAUACCCUGGUAGUCCACACCGUAAACGAUGAAUGCCAGUCGUCGGGCAGCAUGCUUGUCGGUGACACACCUAA